rnacentral:rRNA from 1 species
UACGUAGGGCGCAAGCGUUGUCCGGAAUUAUUGGGCGUAAAGAGCUCGUAGGCGGUUUGUCGCGUCUGCUGUGAAAACUCGAGGCUCAACCUCGGGCUUGCAGUGGGUACGGGCAGACUAGAGUGCGGUAGGGGAGACUGGAAUUCCUGGUGUAGCGGUGGAAUGCGCAGAUAUCAGGAGGAACACCGAUGGCGAAGGCAGGUCUCUGGGCCGCAACUGACGCUGAGGAGCGAAAGCAUGGGGAGCGAAUGGG